rnacentral:piRNA from 1 species
AGUUUGAACCAUGAUAGGACCU